GGUAUAACAUUUUUUUCACGAUACCACUCAAUCCUAUUUGUGUUGUGUAAUUAUAUCCGAAACUUACGUGUCAAUUACAGGAGACUCGCUGGUCUAGUUGUUGAGCGUUCGAUCAGAGAUCGAAAGGUACCGGGUUCCAAUCCUGGACGAUUCAUUUUUUUUUUAUUUUUGGUUGUUUUAAUAAAAAUUUUUUGAAAGUGGUAGAUAAGAAAGUUAGUUUAAUAUUUAAAUAGAAUACAAAUAACCUGUUAAGUAUAUUUACUUCAUUAAAAUUAUAUAAUAGAAGAAUAACUUCUUACGUGCGUACAAAGUACACACACAUUCUUAUUUUACUAAAAGAAAAAUAUAUACCUACAAGAUCGACAGCUACUUAGACCUAUACAAAGUGGAUUUAGAAAGUCCAGAUCUACAUUAGACAACCUAGUGGAUAUUGAAUCUGUAAUUCACGAGUCAUUUGGAUGUGGUAAGAAUGUUUGGCUAUAUUCUUUGAUAUAAUGCGUGCAUACGAUACAAUUUGGAGAUUAGAUAUCCUAAGAAUUCUGUCAAGUUGGUCGAUUAAAGGAAAUAUUAUCAAAUUUAUUAGUAAUUUUUUAUAUAGGCGAAACUUCAAAGUUCAUUCAUAAGUUGAAUUAGAGUAUGAUUUUACUACUCACCGAUAGGUGCCGACAUAGUUAAUUAUUUUCAGUAUUUAAGUGAAAUCAGAGAAAUUUUGAGUUACACCACUCUUUUACCGUAAAAUGGGGUGAGAUUGAUCUCCCGGGGUGACAUUGAUCAUGUGUCGUAUCACAUAUAUGUAGAUACAACCGGCAACAAUGUAAAAUUGUUUCUGGGCGUGGCACUAUUCAUUUCUUGGAUCUUGACUAUGAUCAGUUCACGUCGUUGUUAGUUUGUAAUUGGCAUUGGGAAGAAGUUCUGUGACUUUGAAAUUAACCAUAAUUUUUGGCCUAUUUUUCUAGUUUGUGUACUUUUGAUGGUAGAGGAAGAACAGAGAUUUAAGAAUAUCAAUCAAAAUGGGAAGAACGUACAAAAAACAAUUAGGCAGUAAAACGUAUGGCAAUUUUAAUGAAGAACAAGUUAAUCAGGCGUUGCACGAUGUAUUGGAAAAUGGAUUAUCCCUAAGAAAAGCGGCAAAAAAA
rnacentral:lncRNA from 1 species